AUUAAUACGUAUACUUCUUCAGAGGAUGCUCUUCAAAGGCUUGAAGCAUUGCUUCCAGUAUUCCGAAGUCGUAUGGGAGCAAUGCUGUUCCUAAUAUCUGCUUUGCUUUCUCAUGGAAUGGAAUCUGUCCAAGCUGAUAGGGAUGAUCCUUCUCAACCUUUGGUUACAGCACCUUUUGGACAUGCUUCACAGGAAAUUGUGAACCUGUUGCUUUCUGGUGAAGCUGUUGCCAAUGUGUUUGACGGGAGGAUGGAUUUGGGUGGUGGCAUGUUUGUGAAGGGUAUCUCUACAACAGUUGAAGUUGGAUUUAUUACUCUGCUAGAGUCCCUGAACUUUUGUAAAGUUGGCUUGCAUUUGAAAUGCCCGGCAUGGCCAAUAUGGGUUGUUGGCAGUGAAUCUCAUUACACUGUCUUAUUUGCUUUAGAUACAAAAGUUCAGGAGGAGAAUGAACUUGAAGGCAAGGAAACAAAGAUCCGUAGAGCUUUUGAUGCUCAAGAUCAGAGUGGAGGUGGUGGAUUUAUUAGUGUGGAAGGUUUUCAUCAAGUCCUUAGGGAUACUAAUGUGAAUCUUCCAGCUGACAAGCUUCAAAACCUCUGUAGCAGUGGAUACAUUGUAUGGAGUGAAUUCUGGCAGGUCCUGUUGGACUUGGACAAUAGUUUGGGAGGGCUGAAAGAUCCUAGUGGAUUAAUGGGGAAAAAGGUCUUUGAUCUUUACCACUUCAAUGGGAUUGCAAAAUCAGUUAUGAGCGGAAACCAGGUUUCAUCCGGAAAUGAUAUUCCGGUACAAAGGCCUAGACUCACUAAGCUGAGGGUUUCAGUUCCCCCAAGGUGGACGCCGGAGGAGUUCAUGUCUUCAGGCCCAAGUACAAGUGAUCCUGCCGGUAAGGAUUCUGUCACUGAAGUUUCAAAACCAGAACCUUCUCAGCAUGCUCCAUUAGUUGACUGCAUCCGGACACGCUGGGCCCGAGCCACAUGUACUUGGGAAGGUGAUCCACCAAGCAUAGUUUGAUUGGUUAAUUGAUUUAGUCUGAAACUGCCACCUUGUUUUCCGGGGAUUAUCACGUAGAGCAGGAGCGAUAUACUUCCGAAAAAGGUGAAAGCUUUCUGAGCAGGAAGAUUCUUUUUGUCGUGGCAGUUUUCCAUCAUGAACAUAAUGCAGUACCAUUUUCAACUGUGUGAUAUUGUAACUUCAAGAUUCUAGUUUGAUUUGGAGUAGUCCAAUUCUGAGGGUAAGAGAGGCAGUAUACUGUCAUUUCGCAUUGAUUUUUUCGCCUUAUGCUGUUGAUUAGUUUUUUCUUCCCGUUUCCUCUGAAAGGGAGAUAAAUAAGCAUCAGAUUGGUUAUUAAUUGUUGUUGUAACUUUAGAAAGCCCCUCUCAUCUUCGCACUUGAUUAGGGAAAUAUCUUAUUCGGA
rnacentral:misc_RNA from 1 species